rnacentral:lncRNA from 1 species
GUAAUUAUUAUUUAAGUGUGGAAAGAUAAAGCAAAACUCUUCUAUGGUGUACUUUCCUUAGAUGGAGUAGAUUAGGAUAUGUAUGCUACAUGCAGAACAAACAAAAUCUAUCAAAAUCUCAGCAGCACAAAAAAGGAAAUUUUUUAUUUCUCAUCAUGUAUUGAAGUCUGGGUGAUAUUCCAAGGGAAGCUAUCUUCCAUGUUGUUAUUCAGUGAUCCAGGCUAUACCAGUCUUGUUCUAUCUCAAUAAAGGUUGAUGUGGUUGUUCUGGCAUAGGAAGAAGUCCAUGGAGUCUUACACUGGUUCCAUAUCUUCCUACAGUGCAUUGGCUAGAAUGACGCACCUGGUUUUGCCUAAGUCAGAAGAAGAGAAAUUGUGAUGUGCCUCUGUGCCUACAGGGAAAGGGAAGCUGGCUAGGGAUGAGGAAUAAAAGCUUCUUCUGUAAGAGAUUUUUGGGGUUUUAUCCCUCUGGUAUGCUAAAUUUUUCUGCUUAACAACAAAAAUACAUAUUUUGGGUGACGGGCAGAGUUGUUCUAAAUAGAAUAUUUCUUUUUUUUUUAGAAUUCCUUACUUUUCUUAAUCCUGAGUUAGUCUACUUUAUACCAGUUUAUGUUUUGGUUCUUAUUGUGUGUUUAAUGUCCUGUUAUCUUUCAAGGAAUGGCUUAAGGAUAAACUGGAGGUGGAGAUUCUAGUCUUCAUCUUGAUGUCAAGGAGAAUUUCUGAGAAAGAAUGUCGUCAUUGCUGUGACUUCAAUAGAGAUCACAAUAUCAGAAGCCUAUCAUAUUCAGGAAGCUGUAUGCUCCAGAAAUGUGUGGCAUCUGCCAAAGGGACAUCCCAUGCCUUGACUCUUGGCAUCCGUAAGUUAGUGCCUGACGCUUUGCUAAUAUAACACAGAAAAACAUUCCUGCAAUUGCACAUGUCAGUAGAAACGGCAGAACCGCCAGAAGCUGGAGCCCUACCCUACUUCCAACUUCACUCUCCCACACAGAUAUAUCUGGUUGGCCAAAUCUAAAUUUUAUCUACAACUGAGCCACAAAGGAAUCUAGAAAAAUGUAAAUUUUAGCUUUUCAGCCUCUAUAGUACAAGGAGCCAUGCAGCACCAGGAGUGCUGAACCACUGUCUCCACUACUGUUGGGGAGAAUGUUGCAAAGUCCUCAGAGCUUCACCUCUUGGCAUCUUCUACGUCAGCUUGCUUUAUGCAGAUUGUGGGCUUGGCUUUGCCUCUUUCUGCCAGUAACUUUUUGAGUCCUCUCUUUAGCUCCGGCUUUUUCUGGGCUAUCUCUUUUUUAGAAGCAUGAUGUCACUCCAGAGAAUCCUUUUAGAAGUUUCUUUUUAACAGACAACCCUAAGCUGGUUACCUUCUCUGGGACCAGGUACGUGUACAGAAGACAGUUUAUAUUUUAAUUUAAGAGGUGAUACAACCAACUUCCGGCACAGCCUUCACUGUCAUUGCUCUGAAACUAGAGGGUAUUAUGCUAAGCGAAAUUAGUCAGCCAGAGAAAGACAAAUAUCAUAUGACUUCACUCAUAUGAAGACUUUAAGAUACAAAACAGAUGAACAUAAGGGAAGGGAAGCAAAAAUAAUACAAAAACAGGGAGGGAGACAAAACAUAAGAGACUCUUAACAGAGGGUUACUGGAGGGAUUGUGGGAGGGGGGUGGGCUAAAUGGGUAAGGGGCAUUAAGGAAUCUACUCCUGAAAUCGUUGUUGCACUAUAUGAUGAUUAAUUUGGAUGUAAAUUUAAAAAAUAAAAUUAAAAUAA